GACGUAGGGCGCGAGCGUUGUCCGGAUUUAUUGGGCGUAAAGAGCUCGUAGGCGGCUUGUCACGUCGAAUGUGGAAACUUGGGGCUCAACUCCAAGCUUGCAUUCGAUACGGGCAGGCUAGAGUUCGGUAGGGGAGACUGGAAUUCCUGGUGGUAGCGGUGAAAUGCGCAGAUAUCAGGAGGAACACCGGUGGCGAAGGCGGGUCUCUGGGCCGAAACUGGACGCUGGAGG
rnacentral:rRNA from 1 species